rnacentral:lncRNA from 1 species
UGCAUCACUGUUCUUCCAAAUAUAUUUCAUGCUUAUACACAUAUCUACUUCUGCUUGGAUGUUUUCAUUUGAAUUUUCCUUUUUUUCAUUGUAGUUUUGGGCAUUGUUCCACGAAGACACUUCAGCAAAUGCCUAAUUUUCAUCAUGCUUGGUUGUCACUCUAGAAAUCAUCUGCUG